CGAACGAUGAACCGGUUUCGGCCGGGGAUUAGUGGCGAACGGGUGAGUAACACGUGGGCAAUCUGCCCUGCACUCUGGGAUAAGCCCGGGAAACUGGGUCUAAUACCGGAUACGACACUCCGAGGCAUCUUGGGGUGUGGAAAGUUCCGGCGGUGCAGGAUGAGCCCGCGGCCUAUCAGCUUGUUGGUGGGGUAAUGGCCUACCAAGGCGACGACGGGUAGCCGGCCUGAGAGGGUGACCGGCCACACUGGGACUGAGACACGGCCCAGACUCCUACGGGAGGCAGCAGUGGGGAAUAUUGCACAAUGGGCGAAAGCCUGAUGCAGCGACGCCGCGUGAGGGAUGACGGCCUUCGGGUUGUAAACCUCUUUCAGCAGGGAAGAAGCGAAAGUGACGGUACCUGCAGAAGAAGCACCGGCUAACUACGUGCCAGCAGCCGCGGUAAUACGUAGGGUGCGAGCGUUGUCCGGAAUUAUUGGGCGUAAAGAGCUCGUAGGCGGUUUGUCGCGUCGAUUGUGAAAGCCCGGGGCUUAACCCUGGGUCUGCAGUCGAUACGGGCAGGCUAGAGUUCGGCAGGGGAGACUGGAAUUCCUGGUGUAGCGGUGAAAUGCGCAGAUAUCAGGAGGAACACCGGUGGCGAAGGCGGGUCUCUGGGCCCGAUACUGACGCUGAGGAGCGAAAGCGUGGGGAGCGAACAGGAUUAGAUACCCUGGUAGUCCA
rnacentral:rRNA from 1 species